AGUUUGCGUGAGGGAUAGAAGUGAAAAGCCCGCAGACCAAUGCAGUGAAACGAAAUUGGUCGAGGACUUGUAACGGAUAGCCCGACCGAAG
rnacentral:misc_RNA from 1 species